rnacentral:tRNA from 1 species
ACCUGGGUGGCUCAGUCGGUUGAGUGUCUGACUUUAGCUCAGGUCAUGAUCUCCCGGUCUGUGAGUUCAAGUCCUACGUCAGGCU